AUUGAACGCUGGCGGCAGGCUUAACACAUGCAAGUCGAGCGAGCGGCGGACGGGUGAGUAAUGUCUGGGAAACUGCCUGAUGGAGGGGGAUAACUACUGGAAACGGUAGCUAAUACCGCAUAACAUCAGAUGUGCCCAGAUGGGAUUAGCUAGUAGGUGGGGUAAUGGCUCACCUAGGCGACGAUCCCUAGCUGGUCUGAGAGGAUGACCAGCCACACUGGAACUGAGACACGGUCCCGACUCCUACGGGAGGCAGCAGUUGGGAAUAUUGCACAAUGGGCGCGGGCCUGAUACAGCCAUGCCGCUUGUGUGAAGAAGGCCUUCGGGUUGUAAAGCCCUUUCAGCGAGGAGGCGUUACUCGCAGAAGAAGCACCGGCUCACUCCGUGCCAGCAGCCGCGGUAAUUC
rnacentral:rRNA from 1 species